UACAGAGGGAGCUAGCGUUGUUCGGAAUUACUGGGCGUAAAGCGCGCGUAGGCGGCUUUGUAAGUUAGAGGUGAAAGCCCGGGGCUCAACCCCGGAAUUGCCUUUAAGACUGCAUCGCUUGAAUCCGGGAGAGGUGAGUGGAAUUCCGAGUGUAGAGGUGAAAUGCGUAGAUAUCGUAAGGAAGACCAGUGGCGAAGGCGGGUCUCUGGACAGUUCCGUGACGCUGAGGCACGAAGGUCAGGGGAGCAAACGGG
rnacentral:rRNA from 1 species